CCUACGGGUGGCUGCAGUGGGGAAUAUUGCACAAUGGGGGAAACCCUGAUGCAGCAACGCCGCGUGAGCGAUGAAGGCCUUCGGGUCGUAAAGCUCUGUCCUAAGGGAAGAAUACUGACGGUACCUUAGUAGGAAUCCCCGGCUAACUACGUUCCAGCAGCCGCGGUAAUACGUAGGUGGCUAGCGUUACACGGAAUUACUGGGCGUAAAGGGUGCGUACGCCGACAUUAAAGUCAGCGGAUAAAGGCUAAGGCAAAACCAUAGUAAGACUUUGAAACUGUAGGGCGUGAGUGUAGGAGAGUAGAGUGGCAAUCGCAGUGCAGACGUGAAAUGAGUCGUUAUUCGGAGGAACACCAGUUGAGAAGGCGGAUAUCUGGAAUGUAACUGACGCUGAGGAACGAAAGCGUGGGGAGCGAACAGGAUUAGAUACCCGAGUAGUC
rnacentral:rRNA from 1 species